AGAUAAUUAGUCCAAAGAAAGACCUCUGAUUUCGGCUCAGAAAAAUAUGGUUCAACUCCAUAAUUAUCUU
rnacentral:tRNA from 1 species